UACAGAGGGUGCGAGCGUUGUCCGGAAUCACUGGGCGUAAAGGGCGCGUAGGCGGUUUCUCACGCGUGCGGUGAAAGCCCGGGGCUCAACUCCGGGUCUGCCGUGCGAACGGAGAGGCUAGAGUCUGGUAGAGGUCGAUGGAAUUCCGGGUGUAGCGGUGGAAUGCGUAGAGAUCCGGAAGAACACCGGUGGCGAAGGCGGUCGACUGGGCCAGUACUGACGCUGAGGCGCGACAGCGUGGGGAGCAAAC
rnacentral:rRNA from 1 species